rnacentral:rRNA from 1 species
UGCCAGACUCCUACGGGAGGCAGCAGUGGGGAAUAUUGCACAAUGGGGGAAACCCUGAUGCAGCAACGCCGCGUGAGUGAAGAAGUAUUUCGGUAUGUAAAGCUCUAUCAGCAGGGAAGAAAAUGACGGUACCUGAGUAAGAAGCCCCGGCUAACUACGUGCCAGCAGCCGCGGUAAUACGUAGGGGGCAAGCGUUAUCCGGAUUUACUGGGUGUAAAGGGAGCGUAGACGGCGAUGCAAGUCUGAAGUGAAAGCCCGGGGCUCAACCCCGGGACUGCUUUGGAAACUGUAUGGCUGGAGUGCUGGAGAGGCAAGCGGAAUUCCUAGUGUAGCGGUGAAAUGCGUAGAUAUUAGGAAGAACACCAGUGGCGAAGGCGGCUUGCUGGACAGUAACUGACGUUGAGGCUCGAAAGCGUGGGGAGCAAACAGGAUUAGAUACCCUAGUA